UACAGGGGGGGCAAGCGUUGUUCGGAAUUACUGGGCGUAAAGGGCUCGUAGGCGGCCAACUAAGUCACACGUGAAAUCCCCAGGCUUAACCUGGGAACUGCGUGUGAUACUGGAUGGCUUGAAUCCGGGAGAGGUGAGUGGAAUUCCUGGUGUAGCGGUGAAAUGCGCAGAUAUCAGGAGGAACACCGGUGGCGAAGGCGGUUCUCUGGGCAUGUCCUGACGCUGAGGAGCGAAAGUGUGGGGAGCGAACAGG
rnacentral:rRNA from 1 species